ensembl:snoRNA
AACCAAAGUGUUGAGCCUAGUUCAGUGCUGCUUCCCAUCCUGGUAAUUAAACUCUGGGACAUUAAGAUAAGGUCUGGGAGAGAUGACUGGGUAAAAGGUAUGUUUCUAUUAAUUUCCUCCUAACUUAGGAAA